CCUAGGAUAUUAACACUAACAUCACAGUGUACACACAUGGUGUACAGCCACUGUCAUAUUAGGAGUGUCACCUCUUCCUAGGAUAUUAUCACUAACAUCACAGUGUACACACAUGGUGUACAGCCACUUUGAUGUUUCAAGUAAUAUCUCUCCCUCAGAUAUUACGAAUACUAUCAGAGGGUAUACCCAAAUACCAUACACAUACUUUAAUAUUACGAAUAAUAUCACAGAGUGUUCAAACACAGUCUUCACUGGCUAUGGUGUUAGGAGUAAUAUCUCUUUAAAAUAUACACCCAUAUCAACCGGACUAAAAUAUUAGGAGUAAUAUCUUUUUAAAAUGUAGACCCAUAUUAACCACCCGCUAUACAGCGAGUAUUAUCACCCCAGCUGCCCCUGGAUAUUAGGGUGCCCACACCUGUGAUUCAUAGUAUCUCUCCCACAGAUAUUACGAAUAAUAUCAUAGGGUGUACCCAAAUACUGUACACACACUUUAGUAUUAUGAGUAAUGUCAUAUGCUGAAUAUCACAAACAAUAUCAUAAAGUGUUCAAACAUACUCUAUACUGUCUAUGAUUUUAGGCGUAAUAUCUCUUUAAAAUAUACACCUAUAUCAACCUGACUAUGCUAUUAGGAGUCAUAUCUCUUUAAAAUAUAUGCCCAUAUAAACCCCCCAACGAUAAUAUCAGGAGUAAUAUCUCUUUAAAAUAUACACCCAUAUCAGCCCGAUGGUGAUAUAAGCAGUAAUAUCUCACUAAAAUGUACACACACAUCAACCCCCUGCCCUAGGGCGAGUAAUAUCCCCCGCCCCUGGAUAUUAAGGACCCUAUGGCUGGGGGCUGCCACAGCCACUGCCCUAGGGAGAGGGAUAUCCCUCCGCCCCCCCCCCCCCAGAUAUUCUGGACAGUCUGGCAAGGGGGCUGUACCACCCAGGCCCCCCCAGCUGCUACGAACCCUCUGGCUAGGCAGUGCCCACAGCGGCUAUUUAGACAAUUUGGAGUAAUAUACUGGAAACCAUAUCAUAGGGAGAAGAUAAUGUUACUGUGUUUCUUUUUUGAUAUUAGGCACAGUAACACCAGUUCUAGUUCCACCUCUGCGAUAUUGACAAAAAUAUCAUCCUCGCUCCCCUUAACAUUAGAAUUGAAAUCACGGGGGUUUCACCGCUUGUAAUAUUUAAUUCAAUAUAAUUGUUUCUUUCGUGGACCUUAGUUACUAUAUCAGAGUGUGGUGUACACCUCUUUUGCCAUAUUGAGAGUAUUACCAUAUGAGCAGUAAUAUCAUCCUCUCCUUCCCUGGAUAUUAGGAACAAUAUCACAGGGCGGGUGUACAGCCCCUGCCACAUUGUGAAUAGUAUCAUCUCUCAUCCCCUAGAUAUGAGGAACAACAUCACUGGGGGUUUGUGUGCUUCCUGAGAUAUUUGGAGUAAUAUCCUCUCCGUUUUUGGAUAUUAGAAACAAUACUAUAGUGGUGGUGUGCACUUCCUGCGAUAUUGAGAGUAUAAUCAUUCUCUCUUCCCUGGAUAUUAGGAAAUAUAUCACAAAGGCGUUGUACACUGCCUGUGAUAUUGGAACAAUCACAGAGUGUACACUUGCUUUCACAAUGAGAGUAAUAUCUACCUAGGAUAUGAUGGAUAAUAUCAGAAAAUGUACACACAUGGGUGUAUACCCACUUUGAUAUUAGGAGUAAUUUGUAUCUAAUAUAAUAAAAAUAUACCAGAAUGUAGUCAUAAUGUGUACAUUUAUUGGGAUAUUACAAUAAAUGUAUAUGAUAUCUACAAUAUGUAUAUUGUGAUGUACAUAUAUGUACACAAUACAUAUGUACAAUAAAUGUAUAUGUGUACAAUAUAUACAUUUAUAUGAACAUGUGUACACAAUAUGUACAUAAUGAAUACAACCUGCACAUUUACUGUAAUAUCACCAUGAUAUAUAUAAUCACAAUAUAUAAUACAUAUCACAAUAAAUGUACAUAUUGUAUACAUUAUGUACAUAUGUAUUGUGUACACAUUAUGUACAUAUACAUUUAAUGUGAUAUUACAAUAUGUACAUAUAAUACACUAUGUACAUAAUGUACACAUGUACGUAGAUACUAUAUGUACGUGUACAUAUAUAUGUGCACAUUGUGUACAUAUGUACUAUAUGUACAUGUAUAUAUGUGCAUAUUAUGUACAUAUGUAUAGUAUGUACGCAUGUACGUAUAUAUGGGCACAUUAUGUACAUAUAUGUAUCUUGCCUAUUGAAUAUAAAUAUUCUAAUUACUCCAUGAAAAGAUUUUUUAAACCAUCAAGGCAGCCUGUAAACUCUUUAUAGUUGUGAUCAGGUAAAAUAAUGCAGGUAUACCACUAACAAUACCUGGCACUAGAACACAAACACUAAAUAUAUAAUGUUACUUACUGCUGUUAUUGUUAUAUGGUAACCAUUUUGAAUUGUUAUCUUGUAAUGUUCAAGUUCUUUUUUUUUUUUUUUCUUAAGGCGGAGUUUCACUCUUGUUACCCAGGCUGGAGUGCAAUGGCGCAAUCUCGGCUCACUGCAACCUCCGCCUCCUGGGUUCAGGCAAUUCUCCUGCCUCAGCCUCCUGAGUAGCUGGGAUUACGGGCACGCACCACCGUGCCCAGCUAAUUUUUUGUAUUUUUAGUAGAGACGGGGUUUCACCUUGUUGACCAGGAUGGUCUCGAUCUCUUGACCUCGUGAUCCACCCGCCUCGGCCUCCCAAAGUGCUGGGAUUACAGGCGUGAGCCACCGCGCCCGGCCAUGUUCAAGUUCUUUUGGUUUCUAUAUAUUCGUCACUAAAUCUGUGUAAUCUGACAUCUUUCAAACUUCUGAACAUAAGGCCAUUAAUAUUUGAAUUACAAUGAAAGGUUUUUUUUUCCAUCUGCAAGUGGAUUAUAUAAUCAGCACUCCAUUGCCAUCUGAGUGACCCUGAAAAAUAGGAAUAUUUUCAAAGGAAAAUUGCACUUUUCUUCCAAAACUACACACAGUAUUUUGAUGCCAAUAUUUCUUCAGAUGAGUUUCUGCAUGUUACUAGCCUACUGCUGCAUAGUGGGGGUAAAUGACAGGCAUUCUCGGAUGUCUAUAAAACUCCCCUUCUAGGCCAGGCGUGGUGGCUCAUGCCUGUAAUACCAGCACUUUGGGAGACCAAGGCAGGCAGAUCAUGAGGUCAGGAGUUUGAGACCAGCCUGAGGUUUUACCAUGGUAAAACCUCAUCUUUACUAAAAAUAUACAAAAAUUAGCUGAGAGUGGUGGCGUGCACCUGUAAUCCCAUCUACUCAGGAGGUUGAGGGAGGCGGAGGUUGCAGUGAGCCGAUAUUGCGCCGCUGCAUUCCAGCCUGGGCGACAGAGUGAGACUACAUCUCAAAAACAGCAACAACAACAAACAACAAACUCAGCGUCUCACCCCAGCAUCGGCACACAUACAGGCACACAUGUGCACACACAGGCACACACACCCAGCAUCUUUUAUGUCAACAGUCAUGACUGCAUUCAUUGGCCAGGAGAGAGAUAAAAUCAGGACCCUCUCUGGACUCAAGGCUGAGUCUGCUUUAGUCUAAAGUGAUCAUCAGAAUGCCAUUCCCCUUGCCAAUUAUCAAGAAUGGGCGUGUUACAAAAUUCUGGUCAAUGAGGGUUGUACUGGGAGAUUUUCUUCAUUCUUAAACAAGGGGCACAAGGAAGGAAUGUUUUUCUGCUUUCAGAUAUAAUCUUCUCACAUUGGAAUUAUGGCCAGUAUACUGGAAACAUGAGUGGAGCCAGCUGAUGCUCUGAAGAGAAUAGCAGAAUGAAAAGAUAAAAAGAUGCUGGGCGAGGUGCCUCACGCUUCACAGGAUUGUGCUUUUUGGAGACAGUCAGAAACAAACUUAAUUUUGUUUGUAUAAAAUGUAUGCAAAAUGUCAACUUCUUUUGCCUUGUGGAACACUCUGGCAGUCUGAUGAAUCCUACAGACAGACCCCUUCUGAGGAUUAUGUGUUUAAAUGCAUAAAAUAAAUGGAUGAUUAAAAAAAAAUUUUUUUUUUUUGAGACGGAGUCUUGCUCUGUAGAGCAGGCUGGAGUGCAAUGGCAUGAUCUUGGCUCACUGCAAACUCUGCCUCCUGGGUUCAAGUGAUUUUCCUGCCUCAGCCUCCUGAGUAGCUGGGACUACAGCCAUAGGUACCACUUUGACUACAACCACAAUGGAAGAAAAUGCUGGCUGGAUGCAGUGGCUCAUGACUGCAAUCAUGAGGUCAAGAGAUCGAGACCAUCCUGGCUAAAAUGACCAUCUUCCGCCAAGCCUUCAACACCUACAAGAUGGACACGGACCGCAAGCAAGGGACACCGCAGUACCUGUGUGCAGUGCAGCCCAGCAGAAGGCUCUCUGAGAUCUGGCUCUCCCACAGACUGGCCACUGCCACCUAUAUCCAGGGCAAAGGCAAGGUGCUUGUUAUGUAUACAAUUUUUUCUUUCGGUGCUGCAAAGAAGAAUUCGUAAUGGGACAAAGGAUUUCCCAGCACAGCGAUUCUUUUUACUUCCUGCAGAAAGGGCACUCCCACUAGCAAUCUUGCCCCGAGAGUACAACGAACUAACAAGAGCAGACAUAUUUAUUUCUCGCGCAUUUGGGGUUGUCCUUACUGUUGUGUCUGAUCUCUGCGGGCUGGAGCCAGACCUCACAAUGGAAACUAAAAUCUGAUUGGCUAAUAACUUGAAACUUUUCUAAACAGGUCAAAGCCAUGGAGAGCAAAAAAAAAUAAAAAGGAAGUCCAAAUAAGAAAGCGGCAUAGGCUGUGAGCUGGGACAUGCCUAUGAGCACAUCUUGCACAGAUAUGUUGAUUAAAGUGCAAAGACAUAGAAUGUACUACGUGCCUGUAAGCAUGUCUAACAGCUACGUAGUAUAGGGCUUUUAGCAAAAAGGCAAGAAGGCGUUUGAAGAAAAUGUUUAAAACAAACUAUUAUUUCUAACACAUGAAUUUUUCUUAACCAAGAAAGGAAACAUUGAAGAGGAACUUUUCUACUUCCCACAACAGUGAUUGUAGAGAGGGAAGUAACCCAAGUCCUCAGCUUCAACACAGGUGAGCCACUAUGCAGGUCAGCGUCCAAAUAGCUAUCUAGAAUGCACACCUGGUGGUCUAGAAGAGCUCCUGAAUAGUUGACUGGGAGUGGGUUGGGGAAAUGACAGGAGCAGACACACGUGUUAGACAAGCAGGUUCAAGGGACUGUCUGUCUUCCUGGGUAGAUUAUAAAUUCUUCUAGGGCAGAGUUUUCAGAGGCAGUAAGACGUAAUGGUGUCUGCCACUUGCUGCUCCUUAAUUCUAAACCUCUCUCUGCCUGUGUUUCCUCAUCUGUAUGAUGGGGAUAUUAAUAGCAUAUUCAUGGCCGGGCACAGUGGCCCAUGACUGUAAUCCCAGCACUUUGGGAGGCUGAGGUGGGCUGGUGGGCUGAUCACAGGGUUAAGGGAUUGAGACCAGGCCGGGAGCGGUGGCUCAAGCCUGUAAUCCCAGCACUUUGGGAGGCCGAAAUGGGUGGAUCACGAGGUCAAGAGAUCGAGACCAUCCUAGUCAACAUGGUGAAACCCCGUCUCUACUAAAAAUACAAAAAAUUAGCUGGGCAUGGUGGCGUGUGCCUGUAAUCCCAGCUACUCGGGAGGCUGAGGUAGGAGAAUUGCCUGAACCCAGGAGGCGGAGGUUGCGGUGAGCCAAGAUCACGCCAUUGCACUCCAGCCUGGGUAACAAGAGCGAAACUCCAUCUCAAAAAAAAGAGAGAUUGAGACCAUCCUGGUCAACAUGGUGAAACCUUGUCUCUACUAAAAAUACAAAAAUUAGCUGGGCAUCAUGGUGCAUACCUAUAGUCCCAGCUACUUGGGAGGCUGAGGCAGAAGAAUUGGUUGAACCCGGGAGGGGAGGUUGCAGUGAGCCGAGAUCACACCACUGCACUGCAGCCUAGGGGACAGAGUGAGGCUCCAUCGCAAAAAAAAAAAAAAAAAAAAAAAAUAUAUAUAUAUAUAUAUAUUCCUCAUAGGAUCAUUGUGAGAUUCAAUAAGUUAAUACACCGAAAGUGCUUAUUACUGAAUGAGCACAUAGUAAGAGCUGAAUAAUACUGGCUAUUAUUCUUCUCUUUAACUCUGUAGACGUUUUUCUAUACGGCCAGAACAUGAGCGAAAUAAUUUCCUAAUCAUCUUAUCGAGUUAUUUAUUUUUCUACUUCCAGACAGGCUAAUACUUACUUUUACAUUUUUAUUUAUUCUUUACUUUUUUGCAGAGCCUGGGGUCUUACUAUGUUGCCCAGGCUGGUCUUGAACUCCUGGGCUCAGAUGAUCCACCUCUCAAGGUGCUGCCAUUACAGGUGUGAGCCACUGCAUUCCGCAUGGUUACUUUUUUUAAUUGACAAAUAAAAGUUGUGUCUAUAUUAUAUACAACAUGUUUUGAUAUGUGUAUACAUUGUGGAAGGGUGAAAUCAAGCUAAUUAACAUAUGCAUUACUUCACAUACUAUUCAUUUAUUUGUUUAUUUGAGACAGAGUUUCGCUCUUGUUGCCCAGCUGGAGUACAGCGGCACGAUCCGGGCUCACUGCAACCUCCACCUCCUAGGUUCAAGUGAUUCUCCUGCCUCAGCCUCCCAAGUAGCUCGGACUACAGGCUCCCACCACCACGCCCAGCUAAUUUUUUAUUUUAAGUAGAGAUGGGGUUUCAGUAUGUUGGCCAGGAUGGUCUCAAACUCCAGACCUCGUGAUCCACCCAUCUUACCUUCCUAAGUGCUGGGAUUACAGGCGUGAGCCACCGCACUUGGCCUAACAUACUUAUUAUUUUGUAGCAAGAAUACUUUAAAUGUAUUCUCUGCAGUUUUCAAGAAUAGUAUACAUUGUUAUUAAUUAUAGUCACCACGCUGUAUAAUAGAUCUCUUGGAACUUCUUGUAUCUAACUCAAAUUUUUGUAUCAUUUUCAAUUGAUGCAGAAAACUGCAGAAAGUUUAUCAUUAACUGUCGUUAGCACCGAAGCUGAUUCAGCCAGGUGCUGUGGAGUGGCUAUGACAAUGACUGUUGAGGCAGACAUCCAAAGCCAGGUUCAAAGCCAGGUUUCAUCACCAAUAAUCUGUGUUAAAUUAGCAAAGUUACCUAACCUUUCCCUACUUUCAAUUCCUCAUUGGUAAAAUAGGGAAAAUAAUAGCAUUGACCUGGCCAGGUGCAGUGGCUCACGCCUGUAAUUCCAGCACUUUGGGAGGCUGAGGCAGUUAGGUUACCAGGCCAAGAGUUUGAGACCAGCCUGAGCAACAUGGUGAAACCCCACCUCUACAAAAAAUACAAAAAAAAAAAAGGAAGAAAGAAAGAAAAAAAAGCCAGGCAUGGUGGUGCACGCCUGUAAUCCCAGCUACUCAGGAGGCUGAGGCAGGAGAAUUGCUUGAACCCAGAAGUGCGGAGGUUGCAAUGAGCCGAGAUCAUGCCACUGAUCCAGCCUGGUCGACAGAGCGAGACUCAGUCUCAAAUAAUAAUAAUAAUAGCCUUGACCUCACAGAGUUUCUGUGAUAAUCAACUAAUUAAAUCAUCUGCAUGGUUUAGCACAGUGCGUGCAGGUAACUCUAAGUGUUCUUGGUUAUUUUACGUUUACUAUGUAGCAGUCUCUGUUCUAAGCAUUUUGCAAGCAUUAUCUCUUGUAAUCUUUACCACACACUCAAGAGGUGGCCAUUAGGAAGAGGCAGUCAUUAACAUUACCCCCACUUUCCCGACGGGGAAAUGGAGAUAUGAAGAAGUUACUCAGCUAAAGGCAGGCCUGGACUUGCACACAGGUGUUAAGUAUCCACUUAUACUGUCUCCGGCUGGAUUGUAGAGCUAUUUUUUAGCAAUUAUUAGAGAUGUAGAGAGCAUCAGGGAGUAAGAAAAGGGCAAAAAUACAAAGAUUAGGAGAAAAAAGUAAGGACAUAAAUUUAUCCUCAGGUUUGCGGCUGAAGAAAAGGAUGUUGGAGGUUUAAGAUUCUUACCCAAGCAUCCACGGUAAGUAGGUAUGCACCUCACUUUAAACACACUUCUCUGCCAGGCGCGGCUGCUCACACCUGUAAUACCAGCACUUUGGGAGGCCACGGUGGGUGGAUCAGGUCAGGAGAGCGAGACCAUUCUGGCCGACAUAGUAAAAUCCCGCCUCUACUAAAAUACAAAAAAGCUAGCCGGGUGUGGGGGCACGCGCGGGUAGUCCCAGGUACGUGGCAGGCUGAGGCAGGAGAACUGCUUGAACCUGGGAGGCAGAGGUUGCAAUGAGCCGAGAUGAGCCUGGAAACAACGCGAGACUUCGUCUCAUAAACAAAAAAGAAAAACAAAGGAGAUGUGGGCGCCGGCUUGCAGUGCGGUGCGGGUUGGCCAUGGCGGAGCUGCAGCAGCUGCGGGUGCAGGAGGCUGUGGACUCCAUGGUGAAGAGUCUGGAGAAAGAGAACAUCCGGAAGAUGCAGGGUCUCAUGUUCCGGUGCAGCGCCAGCUGUUGUGAGGACAGCCAGGCCUCCAUGAAGCAGGUGCAUCAGUGCAUCGAGCACUGCCAUGCGCCUCUGCUCAAGCCCAGGCUUUAGUCACCAAUGAGUUGGAGAAGUUCCAGGACAGCCUGGGUCGGUGCACCAUGCAUUGCAAUGACAAAGCCAAAGAUUCAACCGAUACUAGGAGUAAGGAGCCUCAGGUGAAGCGGCAGCUGGACGGUUGUGUGACCAAGUGUGUGGAUGACCACAUGCACCUUAUCCCAACUAUGACCAAGAAGAUGAAGGAGGCUCUCUUAUCCAUGGGGAAAUGAAAGUUUGCCAAUGCCUACUGGGGCUGAGGGCAAGGAUGUUUUUUAUAAGGAAUUGGGAAUUUUAGUCUUUUAAGCAAAGUUUAUGAAUGAAGAAAUUAAGGACGGCCGCAAGUGUAAGGCAUAUGUCACUUGCCUCUGGACACUGCUUCUUUUAUGUUUCAGUCCUAAAAAAUGAAAUGGAAAAAAAAGUGGUGCUAAAUUGGGUCAGAGACAUUACAGGAGAAUUUUGGAGCUUGUAUUUCCUGUAGCCAGUGCCUGUCUUGGCAGUAAGGAUCUCCCCUGUAACAAGCCAGAGCCCUCCAAGGUACCAGACUAUUCUUACUACACAGGUACCAACGGCCUGGCAGGUUAGAGUUGGUGGAGUUUGAGGAGAGAUAUUUUCUCUUUGUUGCUAAUAUCCUGUUUACCGGAAAUGUCACCACACCAUUUUCCAUAAGCUGUGAAACAAAAUCCAUGAGGUCACUAACUUAGAAGGGAAAAAGUUUUCUGAGUUUUUGUGCUCUUGGUUUUGUGUAAUUUAUACAAGGGCAUUCAAGUUGAUUUUAAGAUGCGGAAUUGGGAGGGAGACGAGUUUGGAUAAGAACUUUGAAACGUUCCUUGUGGACCCCCAUUUCUGGUCAUCAAGAUGUGGAUGUACAUUUCUUAAAAUUAUUACAUGCUACAUCUUUCAGCCUGGAGACCCUGCGAAAACACGAGAGGUGAUGACACAUUAAUUAUGAGAAGCAUAAUUACUGUCUGACGGGCCCUGAGACUGUGUAGCAAAAUGACAAUGACAGGACAAUUUUUUUUUUUUGAGACUGAGUUUUGCUCUUGUUGCCCAGGCUGGAGUGCGAUGGCAUGAUCUUGGCUCACCGCAAACUGCCUCCCAGAUUCAAGCAAAUCUCCUGCCUCAGCCUCCCGAGUAGCUAGGAUUACAGGCGUGCACCAUCAUGCCUGGCUAAUUUUGUAUUUUUAGUAGAGAUGGGGUUUCUCCAUGUUGGUCAAGCUGAUCUCAAACUCCUAACGUCAGGUGAUCCACCUGCAUUGGCCUCCCAAAGUGCUGGGAUUACAGGCGUGAGCCACUGCCCCCAGCAUGACAGGACAAUCUUGCAGUAACACUUUCCCCUUGAAGAGAAAGGGAUUUUGAUUGUGAUAUAUACUAGUAUCUAGGAAUCGUAGAGGAAUGAAAGAGGACCAGUUGGCUACUUGAUUAUAACAGAGUUAUAAAGUACUGGAUUUGGAAAAGGCUGGUUUUUACAGAACAGAUGGAACAAAAGCCUAAACCUAGCAUUGCCUACUUAGCCCCCUGAGCUAACAGGGCCCAAUUGAGACAAACCGCUGGCAACAGGAAAUUCGAGGGAGAAAAAGUAACCAACUUGAGCUAGGACGAGCUGACUCCCUUAGAGCCAAAGAGAGGCAGCCCCCAUUACCAUAUACCGCUUCUGCCUCGGGCUUUUGCAGCUUGCAGUGUUCCUGCCCAGGCCUGACACCUUGUUGUUUUGAUAGCAACCUCACUGUAUUGUCACCAGCUUAUUACUUGAAAUGAUAAUAUAGCCUGUCCACUUGCUGUUUCCAGGCUGUGAUAUAUUUUCCUAGUGGUUUGAUUUUUUUUUUUUUUUUGAGACUGAGUUUCACUCGUUACCCAGGCUGGAGUGCAAUGGCGUGAUCUCGGCUCACGGCAACCUCCGCCUCCUGGGUUCAGGCAAUUCUCCUGCCUCAGCCUCCCGAGCUGGGAUUACAGGCACGCACCACCAUGCCCAGCUAAUUUUUUUUUUUUUUAUUUUUAGUAGAGACAGGGUUUCACCAUGUUGACCAGGAUGGUCUUGAUCUCUUGACCUCGCGAUCCACCCACCUCGGCCUCCCAAGUGCUGGGAUUACAGGCAUGAGCCACCGUGCCUGGCAGGUUUGAUUUUUAAAAUAAAUAAGGUUUAAUUUUCUCCCCUGCCCAAAGAAAAGAACAAAAGACACUUCCCUUAGCAGAGCAGUAGACCUACUACCUCUCUGACCUUUAUUGUAAGAAUUCAAUCAAGCUUCCAAGUUCCUAGCCCAUGAGGAAAUGAGAGGGCAGCAGAAUGACUUUUUGCAUACAAUUCAAUUUCUGCCUGGUCAACAAAACAUAAUUUGUUGUCUAGAGGAGCUAAAUCAGGCUGUUUAAAUCCCUAGUCAGUAAAAAGUAUUCUCUUGAUUUAUGAAAAAAAAUCAGUAAAUGUAUGUUGAUUUAGAUUUGUGCAGCUACAAACAAUACAUAUGCCAUGAGUCUUUAUCUUCCUUUCAAAUUUCAUGUUAGCGUGACUUGUAGAAAUGAGUGCCCGAUGACACAUUUGAAAUAAUAGCAAUGGUAUUAACAAUAAUAAAAGUACCAUCAUAAUUACUGUCACUUAUUAAGUGCCUGCCCUGAGCUAGGCAUUGUCCUAUAAACUUUCUGUUCAUUAUAAUGUUUAAUUUUCUCAACAAUCUUAUGAGAGCAGACUUUUGAUUAAAGAUAGUACUCUGGCCUGGCGCAGUGACUCAUGCCUGUAAUCCCAGCACUUAGGUAGGUUGAGGCGGAUGGAGCACAAGGUCAAGAGUUUGAGACCAGCCUGGCCAAUAUGGUGAAAUCCCAUCUCUACUAAAAAGACAAAAAUUAGCCAGGUGUGAAGGCACAUGCCUUUAGCCCCAGCUACUCAGGAGGCUGAGGCAGGAGAACCACUUGAACCUGGGAGGCAGAGAUUGCAGUGAACUGAGAUCACAAUAUUGCACUCCAGCCUGGAUGGCAGAGUGAGACUGUGUCUCAAAUAAAAAAAAAAAAAAAAAGAUAGAACUCUGAACACAGAGAUUUCUUGCCACUUUCUCCUGAAGGCCCAUUAAAAUGGCAAACAGCAAUACUUUCCAUUUUGUUUCAGUAAAUAAAUGCAUAAGGAUUAAGAGAGCCGUAGAGACAAUUGUAGCCAGAACAUUUUGGAAUCUGAAAAUCAAAAGGAGUCUGUGUGGUAUGACUUUUUGGCCUUUCAAGUAGCAGAAAGCCCAAUUUUACAGCGAGUUAAACACAUGGUGUUUAUUUUUCUCAUGUAAGAAAGCUCUUUGCAGCUUUCUUAUCAUUGCUGGUGUAUGACUCUCAUCUCAAGGGCCAGUAAAGCAGCUUGAGUUUUCUACAUCAUGUCCAUUUUCCAGCUGGCGGUAAAGAGGAAAGGUAGGGUGAGACAGGUAUGCACCUCAAUUUAAUACUUCUCACCGGGCACAGUGGCUCAUGCCGGUAAUUCCAGCACUUUGGGAGGCCCAGGUGGGCAGAUUACCUGAGGUCAGGAGUUCGAGACAAGCCUGACCAACAUGGAGAAACCCUGUCUUUACUAAAAAUACAAAAUUAGCUGGGCAUGGUGGCACAUGUCUGUAAUCCCAGCUAUUCGGGAGGGUGAGGCAGGAAGAAUCACUUGAACCUGGGAGGUGGAGGUUGCAGUGAGCCAAGAUUGCACCACUGCCCUCCAGCCUGGGCAACAGGAGCGAAACUGUUUCAAAAAAAAUAAGACACUUCUCUUAGCCGGGCAUGGUGGCUCACGUCUGUAGUCCUAAGGCAAGAGGUGGCACUCAACUCUGGAGGUAAGUCUCAGACAUUGGACCAAACUGAGGACUAGCUAAAUCAGGGAGGGAGUGGAAGCAGCUUUCCAUAAGACACACCCAUCCAUGUGUCCUGUCAGUUUACCAUUGCCAUGGCAACACCUAUGAGUUUCCCUUUCCGUGGCAGCAACCCAAUGACCUAGAAGUUACUACCCUUUCCCUAGAAAUGUCUGCAUAAACUAUUUCUUCAUCUGCCUGCAAUUAAAACUAGGUAAAAACGUGAAUGCAGAUCUGCCCUGAGUUGCUGCUUUCUGCCUAUGGCAUAGCCCUGCUCUGCAGGGGCAGUCACAGAGCUGUCACAUUGCCGAAGCCAGAACAUUGCUGCUUCAGUGAAACGGUUUCCUUCUACCCUACCACCAGCUUGCUCUUAAAUUAUUUCCUGGGUGAAGCCAAGAACCCAGUUUGGGGCUCACCUAUCCUGUAUCAGUCCCAGCUACUUGAGAGACUGAGGCAGAAAGAUCACUUGAAGCCAGGAGUUCGAGGCUGUAGUGAGCUGACUACACCACUGCACUCCAGCCUGGCUGACAAAGGGAGACCCUGUCUCAGGAAAAGUAGACAGUUCUCUUCUGGGUUUUUAUAAUCAGAUACCUUUUAUUCAAGAUAUUAAUCUCUAUGAGGGGUAGAUGUUAUCCAGGUUUAGUAUAAAUAGAUAGCACUCUGAACACAUACACUUAUAGCGACUUUCCCCUGAAAGCCCACUAAAAUGGCAAAAAGUGAUACUUUUCAUUUUGUUUUGGUAAAUAAAUGCCAUUUUUAUGACUAAUUUAGAGUCUAAUUAAUUUGCCUUUAUUAAACAAAUGCUGUAUUAGAAAAGUUCUUAGCACACCUAGCACUGUGCCAGCACUUACUAGGAUGCUAGCUCCAGGAUUAGCUGUGGGAAUAACUAUAACCAUGUAAUUUCAUCUCGUUUAUUCUUGAUGUGCCCAUCAGCAUAAUGGAGCCCAGAGAGCCUCUCUAAAUGGUGGCUGGGAUAGGCAAUGACAUGACGCAGAUAAGCCCAGGCAGCAAGUGUUCUCCCCAAAUGUUAAUCUCUUUUCCUCUCUUCAUCCCUUUGGGAGCCUCUAAGAGCAUCUAUGGCACACUAGCAAAGGGCAGUAAGGAUCCUUUGUUUGGAAACAGAUUUUUACAACUUACAAGUUCACAAGCAUAGUCUCUUUCGGAGCCUGUGGUGUACUGUCAUGAAGAGUCAAAGGAAGUAGAUUCUGCGGCAGUACCGCCACUUUGGUGAUUCAGAUGCAAGGUUUACCUUUUAGCCUCAACUGUAAAGUAGGGAUAAUAAUUUUAGUUACCUCAUAGGGUGACUGGUAGAUUGAUAUAAUUUCUAGCAAGUGCUUAGAGCAUAGUAAGUGUUCAAUAAAUGUUAGCUUUUAUCAUUUACUGGGACUAUUAGCCCAUUAGAUGACAAAAUGAAGAUUCAGAGACCCCACAAUGACUAUACUAAUAAUUAAUAAUGGCAAUAUUCAUCGAUUGAAGCCUUAUGAUGUGUCCAGAAAGCAGCCCUUGUUGAGAAAUGGGAGGCGAACAGUGGCUGCCAAUUCUUUGAUGUUUAAUAAACUUUCAUUAAUGUCUACAGUGAACAAAGGUCUGUGCUGACCUUCAUGCUUGAUUCUAAGGAUUCCAGGAUGACUGUAGUUGGGCACAGUCCUUCAUCUGAUGGCUUUUGCAAUAAGGGAAGAAAAAGAGGCGUGUCUUGACAAUUGCACUACUCUGUGCUGAAUGCUAUGCUAGUGGAAAGCAUGUGAUCUACCUAUGUAAACACAAACAAAAAAGAUGUGUUAGUUAUUGCAAUUAGUAAUUCCUGUGUGACACCUGACCCCCAAACUUAGAAUAGCAAUGAAUGUUGAUUGUCUCACACAGUUUCUGAAGGGUCGGAAUUCAGCGUGGCUCAGUAGGAUGGUCUGGCUCAGUCUCUAAUGAAGUUAUCAGUCAUGACUGCAGGCACCUGAAGGUCUGAUCAGGGCUGGAGGAUCUAAGACAGCUCUCUCCUCGCUAGUAAGGUGAUGCAGCCACUGGCAGGAGACCUCAGUUCCUCGUCCUGUGGACCUCUUGCUCGAGUGUCCUCCUGACAUGGUAGCUGGUUUUCCUCACAGCACAUGACCCAAAAGAGAACAAGGCAGAAGCCACAUGUCUUUUGUAAGGUAGGCAUGCAAGUCACAUGCUGUCAUUACACAGGUUGGCUGUAUUUUUGGUGGGAGCGGCUAUAUAAGAGGGAAAAUAUCAGGUGGCAGGAAUCACUGGGGCCACCUUGGAGGCUGGCUACCACAGAGGUCAACUGACUCUAUCUGGUGGUUCAAGAAAGACUUUCUAGAAGAGGUCAUGCCUGAAAGAGCUAAGUUAGGAAAAAUUUAUAACCUGGGCUCCAUGGACAGAACUCAGGGGUCUGUGAAGUUGAGUCAGGGAGGUAGGAUUGCAUCUUCAUUUUCCCACACCUAUACUGAAAUUUAACAUUCUUUCAAUUAUGAGUAUAAGAAACCCAUGCCAGUGUCCUUAGUAAUACCUGUGACUUUGUCACCAGCAGAAACUACCAAUGUUUUGUUUGCAUGUGUGGUCAGCACGGUAAGACCCUGUGUUUACAAACAAAAAUUUAAAACUACUGUUAUUGUAGAUGUCUUGAAAUAUUGCUUGCAUUAAUCAAAAUCAUGAGACUGAGUGCAGUGGCUCAUGCCUGUAAUCCCAGCACUUUGGGAGGCCAAGGGAGAAGGAUCAUUUGAGACCAAGAGUUUGAGACCAACCUGGGCAACAUAGUAAGACUCUCAUUUCUAUGAAAAAUAAAAAUUAGCCAGGCAUGGUGGUGCAUGCCUGUAGUCCCAGCUGCUCGGGAGGCUGAGGCAGGAGUAUCACUUGAACCCAAAAGUUUGAGGCUGCACUGAGCUGUGAUUGUACCACUGCACUCCAACCUAGGUGACACAGAAAGACCCUAUAACUAAAAGGAAAAAAAUUAUAGUGAUUGCUAGACUCAUUGUUCUCACUCAUAAGUGGGAGCUGAACAAUGAGAACACAUGGACACAGGGAGGGAAACAACACACCGGGGCCUGUCAGUGGGUGGGGGGAAAGGGAAGGAGAGCAUUAGGACAAAUACCUGAUGCAUGCAGAGCUUAAAACCCAGAUGACAGCUUGAUAGGUGCAGCAAACCACCAUGGCACAUGUAUACCUGAGCAACAAACCUGCACAUUCUGCACAUGUAUCCCAGGACUUAAAAUAAGAAAAAAAUUAUAGUGAUUGUUAGACCUCGCACCAGAUCUUGAUAUAUAAUGCAUAAUUAAUUAAU